GGCCGACUAGCUCAGUUGGUUAGAGCGUCGUGCUAAUAUCAUCUUAUGGUAUAGACGCGAAGGUCUUGGGUUCGAUCCCCACGUUGGCCA
rfam:Moniliophthora roreri strain MCA 2952 kmer90.96833, whole genome shotgun sequence.